AGUUACCUGAGAUGCUCGUAGGUCCUGUAUAUUUUGAACCUACAGUUUGAUUAAAGGGAUUCCUAUAUCUCUAAGGGGAUGACAUGCCUCGUUAUUUAGUGGACUUCAGAACUUUAGAUGCGGUUGCCCACCUGGCAUUUGCUAGGACUCAAAACGCAGGAAGGGCAUUUCGGGUAUACA
rfam:Eubacterium sp. CAG:161 genomic scaffold, scf159